rnacentral:lncRNA from 1 species
UUGAUCUUGACAUGCCUACAGAAUAAAUAAAGCUGCAAGGGCGGACCGACCAGUUUAGUGCAAAGCUAAGCUCUACGUACCCUGGCUAUAAGUACCCCCAUGGUGCUUCAAGACAAGGCCCAUGCCUCUCAAACCUACAAAGUCAUCCCAUCUCUGGAGUGGAGCUCACUGACAUACUACUCACUCGUGCCAAGCUUGAGGCACAACAACUUCUUAGUAAAUCUUCUCGAUCGACAAGCAGCUUCAUAAGCUCUCCACAUCAAAGAUGAGGAUCAGCAAGAGCGCCCCCAACCUCCUGAAGAAGGCGGCGACGUCUGUCAAGAGCACGGCCGACGCUCUAAGAACAAAGCUCAUCUUCGUGGCCUCGCUGCGCCGAAGGUUGGCGAUGGUCUGUGCGAUGUCUCGCCAGAUCCGUGCACUCAUCACGUCAAAUGGCCGGGAGAAGCAGGCUAGGGUGGAUCACGGCAGCAAGGCUCUCAUGAUGCACAAGGCGAUGGCGACGAGCAAGGAGCCCGCUGGUGAUCAUGGUGGCAAGAUUCAUCUGGGUCUGUUUGAGGUGGCAAUGUUUGAGGAAGGUUAUCAUGGCUACCCUGACUCGCCCAACUCCCUCUUCGACGAUGACAGUUGUUACAACGAUGAGGAGGAUUUCCAAGAUGACGACCACGAUGAUCUUGAUGUUGAUGCUUUUGAUGAGACCUCUGUCAUUGAGAUCAUCAGGGGUGACCGGGAGGGUCAAGGUUUGGAGUUCAACAUGGAAGAUGAUAUUGAUGAGGCAUGUGAAAUGUUCAUUAGGAGAUGUCGCGGCCGGAUGAACCUUAGUUUCUAGUCUCGUUUUUAUACUUUACGUGAGUAGAGACUAGUACUACUACAUACUGACGAACUGAUGCGAGAUAAUAGAAGGUGGGCGAGAUAAUAAGAUGUAGCAGCCAGGGGUAGGACGUGAAUUUGUUUUGAUGAACGCAUAAUAAGAAUCACUUUAUGCAAUGCGGCAAAGUGUUCUACACAUUGCUUGAAACUGCACUGCGCAGUAAUUUUGCAAACAUAUAAAAGUAAAGUACAUGUAUGGUUCUUGAACUUGUCCCGGUGUCAUCGAGGUUACUGAACUUUCAAUAUACAUUUUUAUGUUCCAAAAUUUGACCUCAGGUGUCAUUCAGAUCACUAAAUCUUCAAAAUACGCUUUUAUAUUAUUGAACUUGUCGUUCUCAGGUUCCUAAACUCUUAAAAUACAGUUUCAAAUCCUCGAACUCAUCAUGAACAUUAUCACAAGUGGCCGCAACGAGCAUUGGCAAACACCGCAACAAGCCGCUUCUUCUGGCCGGAGACUUGUGCCUACGCUUAUUGGCGGUUUAUGACGUCGGGGGAUUCUAAUCCCAUAUUCAUUGCUGCCAGCUUGCCAUUCUGUUCCGCCUUCCUUAUCCUUCAUUCGUGAUCACGGGCACAAGGUGGUUGUGAAGGCGGCGAACAGGGGAAAGUAACGCCACCAGUAGCAUAUAUGUGAUAAUAAGUACGUGAUCUAAAAAUACGUCGGAGACUGUCUAACCUGGUUUCGGUCUUGGGAGCCGUUGGAUUCGAUUCCAACGGAAGGUGGUUCCCUGAAUUAGGGAAGUGGAUUACUGUUUCCUUAAUUACCAGCAUUUAUUCCAUCUCCACGAAGCGUCCAGAGUCCAGACCCCGCUCCUUUCCCCGCUUCGGGCCCCACCCGUCCUCUCUCCUUUUCAUUUCUCUCUCAUCUAUCUGUUUCUUCUGACCUCCCAUGGCGGCCGAUGCUCUCCCGAUCCCGAUCCCUCCAUCACCCAGCGCUCGAGCUUGGCAUUGGAGAGGUAAGAGACGGCCCUUCUUCAUCGCCGCUGCCAUGGAAAGGUCGGAUCUGAGGUGCUCUGCCAACGUUCCCCUCGCGGAUCCAUGAAAGACGAAUCGAGAUCCAAGCUCCACCACCGACGCCAUAAAGAAGGCGGCAACGGGAUCUCUGGUCCCCGCCACGGGCUUCCUCGACUACGGCGCAUGAUGUUUGGAUGAGUCCCCUUCCUCGGUUCCUCUUGUCCCCAUCUUCAUGCGAGAUCAGUGUUCUUGACGCCCGAGUCCAUGGCGGCUUCAAGUUCGUCACUGCCCCUGCUUCGUGCCAGCUGCUGCUGCGGAGUUCAAAUCAGGAUGCGCACGAGAUUGCGAGAUCCUCAAUCAUCCCCACCACAGCCGAUGAGAUACCGGCAAAAUCUGUGCAUGUAUAGCUUGAGAAAAAGCAUGAACGGAACAUUAGAUCUCAUAUGUAUAUUCUUUUGGUUGGUACGGGAUGUUUAUUUUUUAUUUUUCAUUUCAUUUUCUGAAAGUAAAGAUAGUUUCCCAACAUUUUAUUGAGUGAGAUACGGUUUUCAUUUUUUUUUCAUUUUCUGAAUGAUCCCACCAUUAAUCGAGUGAGAUAGCAAUUUGCCUUUUCUUUUUCUUCUGUUUUUUUGUUUUAUUUUCUGAAUGUAAAGAUUCUUUCCCCAACAUUUUGCUAAGUGAGAUAGCAAUUUUUAUUUUAGUUUGUAUUUUUGAAUCCAUUCUUGUAGAAAAUAAAAAGUUAAUAGAAAAGCGGACCAGAGACCAGCGGAUUUUGGGAGCGAGAGCCAGCGACAAGUGUGUCCAUGGAUCUCCAAACGAUCCUCUCCGUGCCAAGAGCACAAUAGCAAGCAAAGGCGAUUUCUCGGUGGAGGCUAGAACACAAGGGUUGAGAGUUGGGCCAGCCAACAAAAUGAAGAAGAUAUCAACUGUGUUACAUGAAAGCUACCCUUACUAGACCCCAUUUCGGGCAUGCAUAUAUUAGACGAGAAAAAAAACGUUCUGUACCUUUUCAUAGGUUACAAGCAUUUUUUUACGUGCACAUGCCUUUAGUUUAGAGCUUUAGAUACAGGUAUAUAAAUUUUUUGGGCAUGUUUCACCCUCUAUCUAUAUACAGAACUAUAGAUAUAGGAGUUGUUUGGUUGCCCACUAAUAAAAAAAAAACUGAUCACUGCUUGGUGGUUGUGAAACUUUAGGUGCGCCACACGGAACACAACAGUUUUUCACACAUUUUCUCACCCGGGUGUGAUGCCGAUCUUCUUCGACGCCAUAGCUUAGGCGCCACCCAACCUGCCGGUGUGGCAGGAUGAGGCCAGCAACCAAGCAAGAUCAUAUACAUAUUCGAUAUUCCUACCGUGCGCAGCAGCGUAUCUCUGAUAUUUCCCUGCUGGUAGUUUCCAUUUACUCGUCCAAUACUAUAAUGGAUGAUGCAUGCUAAUUAUCAUGUGCCUAAGCAUGCUCACAUCCCUCUCCAACAAUCGUCUUUUUUUUUUUGGCAAAGUUUACCUUGGUCCCAGUGCAUCUGGAACCCAUUCUUUUGAAAAGGUAUAUUCUUACCAAUUUCUGAAGAUAAAAAGCUAUUUUUCAAAAGUUACCAUUGAAUUUUUUGGCAACUUUUUUACAAACUUAGGAAAAAUAUUUUUUAAUGUUAAAAUUGGUUUUAGAAUUAUUUCAGAAAACAAUUUUUGUACUUCUCUACAAACGUUUUGUGUAAAAUAUUCAUGGUAAGAUAUGUUUUUUCUUAAUCCCUUCUAUAAGAUAUUUUCCAAAAAAUAUUUUUCGUUAUUUUUAUGCAAAAUUUUAUUUUCAAGAAUGAUCACAUAUUCCAGUGGAUAGUGGAGAUCUCUUGUAAUGAUUGAUGUCCACUUGACCAAUUCCCACCGUGUUGAUGAUGGAACAACUUCAUUAAACAUUGAAUUUAAAACUUUGACCAACCAAAACGGUGAGAGUUGCAGGUGUUAACAAAGAAUGGUCGCAUUAUGAGCACAUUCGUACACGCUCGGGGAGGUGGGAAGGAGUGAGAGACACGUAUUUAGAGGUGGUAAUAGAUUAUGGUUCUUGUACCUCCUUCAUAAUGCAAUUCAGUCCUAUCUAUUUUUAACUUAAAAUCAUAUGGUAUUUUAACCUGAUACUUAAAUUUACUAGGCUAAAUUGAAGGGCUCUUUACCACCCUGCACAUACCCCCACUCCCAUGAUGCUAGAUGCAGUACUAAGGAUUUUUGGUGAUCUUACCCUACUUUGAAGUGCAAUUGUAUUUUUACUCUCAUUUUUCUAACUUUGUGAUAUUACCCUCAACUAUUCACAGGUUCUUGUGAUUUUGCGCUUGGGCUUGCGUAUUUGCCCCUAUUUUAAUCGUUGACUAGGGGCAAGAUCGUAUUGACUUAUGAAUAGGCGAGGCAAAAUCACAAAGUUAAAAAAAUAAGAGUAAAAUCACAAUUAUAUUACACAACAGGAGCAAGAAUACAAAUGCCCCAAGUACUAAUGAUCAAUCAACUAGACGCUGGCCCUCGACAUGGAUGUUUUCUUGCUCCGUCCCUGUACUCGCAGCAGUGCAAAAAGCAACUACUACAAAUAUCUUCUGACUUCUCCGUGGCCAUGAAACUCAUGCUAAUUCUACCUCAUAUAUUUUAGGCCCCUAGCUGCCUUUUUCUUUUCGGCUAAUAAUGGAGUUCUCCACAUCAGAGAGAUCAUAUUUUUUCGUAUUACUCGCUGGGCCAUGAUUGAUCAGGAACAACUAUUUUUAAAAGCCACAUGCCCACACCGUGUUGUGGUCAGUUCAGUUGCCACAGCUCGCGCACGGGGGGCACGUGCUGUUCUGGACAGCUCCCACCCCACAGCAGGGCAAAUGCAUGGGCACGAAGCAACAGGUGUGACCGGCCAAUGCCAUGGAAAAACAAAAAAGACGAAAUCACGCGAUCGUCUUUUCAUGUGUUGACGAGCUGCAAAGAAGCGAAAUCAGUAGGAAAAUCACGGCACCGCAAAGUGUAAAAAGCAUCAGAAAGCUGAGGGCACUGCGAGCCAAGCAAGAUCACGAUUGGGCACCGUACCCUGAGUCCCAUUGGGCCGGGCAUGAGCAUGACAAUUGGCCACGAGAAGAGAUGGUGGAACAGCCACCAUCGGCGACGAAGAUGAUGGGAUCCGGAGGAGCCAAUCUUCACCAUAGGACAGGUGUCGUUUCCUACCUAGUUGGGAUUCUUUUACCAUAUCGUUUUCUCCCACUUUGCUACGACCUUCCCUUGCCAUAACUUUUAGUAGUUUUGCUUUCACUCUCAACGUUCGGUUCUUAAUUGUGGUGCUUACUCCACAUGCUAAUUCUUUUUUCUUCAAUGUUUCUUUCGUGCUUUGAGGCACCAAAAGAUUUUCAUUUUUUUUCUAAAGCUUCCAAAAGCAUGAUCUUGACAUGAUCACAAAAAAAAAAGUUGCAAAACUUCUACAGGUCAGUGCAAAGGCUUGCCCCACCCUGGCUAUAAGUACCCCCACGGGGCUUCAAUACAAAGCCCAUGCCUCUAAAACUUACAAGCUAUCUCAUCUCAGGAAUUCACUGACAUACUACUCACUUGUGCCAAGCUUGAGGCACAACAACUCCUUAGUAAAUCUUCUUGACAAGCAGCCUCAUAAGCCCUCCACAUCAAAGAUGAGGAUCAGCAAGAGCGCCCCCAACCUCCUGAAGAAGGCGGCGACGUCCGUUAAGAGCAAGUCCGACGCUCUAAGAACAAAGCUCAUCUUCUUGGCAUCCCUGCGCCGAAGGUUGGCGAUGAUCAGUGCGAUGUCUCGCCAGAUACAUGGGCUCGCCAAGUUGAAGGGCCAGGAGAAGCAGGCUAGGGUGGAGCACGGCAGCAAGGCUCUCACGGUGCACAAGGCGAUGGCGACGAGCAAGGAGCCAGUUGGAGAUCAUGGUGGAAGGGAUGGUAAUGUUGGUAUGUUUGAGGUGGCAAUGUUUGAGGAAGGUUACCAUGGUUACCCUGACUGGACCAAUUCCCUUUUCGACGAUGACAAUUGUUACAAGGAUGAGGAGGACGGUCAUGACAACGAAAACGACAACGAGGAACUUGAUGUUCUUGGUGCGCUAGAUGAGCCCUCGGUCAUCGAGAUCAUCAGGAGCAACCGGGAGGCUCAAGGUCUCGAGUUCAACAUGGACGAUGAGAUUGAUGAAGCUUGUGAUAUGUUCAUUAGGAGAUGUCGCAGUCAGAUGAACCUUAGCCUUUUGUGAUCUUGCAUCUCUAGUUUACGUUAAUGGUGUAAGGGAUGAACUAUGAUGAGACUAGUACACUGACAACCUGAUGAGCGACAAUAGAGAAGUGGGCGUGGGAUACUUGAAUAUGGUAGAACCUAUGAGAGGGCGUUAACUUUUUUCGCUGAACACAUAAGACAUAAUAAUCACUCAUUUUGUUACAUGACAAAGCGUUGUGCA